AUUGAACGAUGGCGGCAGGCCUAACACAUGCAAGUCGAACGAGUGGCGGACGGGUGCGUAAUGUCUGUGACCCUGCCUGAUGGAGGGGGAUAACUACUGUCAACGGUAGCUAAUACCGCAUACCAUAAGAUGUGCCCAGAUGGGAUUCGCUUUUUGGUGGGGUAACGGCUAACCAGGGCGACGAUCCCUAGCUGGUCUGAGAGGAUGACCAGCCACACGGGAAAGGAGACACGGUCCAGACUCCUACGGGAGGCAGCAUGGGGGAAUAUGGCACAAUGGGCGCAAGCCUGAUGCAGCCUUGCCGCGUGUAUGAAGAAGGCCUGCGGGUUGUAAAGUACUUUCAGCGGGGAGGCGUGACCCGCAGAAGAAGCACCGGCUAACUCCGUGCCAGCAGCCGCGGUAAUUC
rnacentral:rRNA from 1 species